AUGACCUUCAGCACAUGGCUUGAUGGGGUCGUAGGAGGAGGAAUUGUGGAAACUAUUACUUAUCAGGUCUACGAUCGAGCCUCUGGGACCUAUGUAACACGCACCUUCCAGAAUCCCAACACAUUGCUCGAUGAUUUCGCCAGUGUGGUCUGUACCGGAGCGGCUGCCGCUGCGUGCUGGGCAGCGUGGAGGUACUACCAACGUAGUGUGUCCCUGCGCAAGUACGGCCGGGACAUGACGGCCUUGGCCGGCAAGGCCGACCCGGUGAUUGGCCGCGACGACGAGAUUGAUCGUGUUAUCUGCAUCCUCAGCCGCCGGACCAAGAACUGUCCGGCGCUAGUCGGUGCUGCAGGGGUCGGCAAGACGGCCAUUGCCGAGGGCCUCGCUCAACGCAUUGCCGCUGGGACGGUCCCUGCCGCCCUCGCUGGAGCACGUGUUGUGGAAGUUGAUCUCGGGGCCAUGGUGGCUGGGACUAUUUUACGUGGCAUGUUUGAGCAGCGCAUUAAGAACGUGAUCAAGCAUGCAGAGGAUGCGGACGGCAAGGUAAUUCUCUUCAUCGACGAGAUGCACAUGCUUCUUGGCGCCGGAGGCAGUCUGCAGGACCGCACAACGGACGCCUCCAACUUGCUGAAGCCGGCGUUGGCCCAUGGUUGUAUCCGCUGUGUGGCCGCGACGACUUUGGAUGAGUACAACAAGUACAUUGAGAAGGAUGCUGCAUUGGAGCGGCGAUUCCAAAAGGUGCAUGUCAAGGAACCGAGCACACAGUCCACCAUUGCCAUUCUGCGAGGGCUGAAGGAAAGGUAUGAGCAGCACCAUUGCUUGGAAAUCCAGGAUGCUGCUCUUGUUGCUGCCACAACACUUGCUGCCCGCUAUAUCACCGGUCGUCAAUUUCCUGAUAAGGCAAUUGAUCUGAUUGAUGAGGCAUGCGCCACUGCAGCCAAAAAGAUGAUGCAAAUUGACAAACAAGAACAGCAAUUUAGCAUUGCACUAACCACCUCUGCAGCGAAGGAAGCAAUUGUUGGCCCAGAUCAAGUUGCACAAGUUGUGAGCCGAUGGACUGGAAUUCCUGUCACCACACUUAAUCAAGGGGAGAAGGAUAAGUUGAUCAACCUAGCAGCUAGAUUGCAUGAACGAGUUGUUGGCCAGGAUGAAGCGGUCAAUAAGGUUGCGCGAGCAGUGUUGCGCUCAAGAACUGGCCUUGAUCAACCUGGCCAACCGAUAGGCUCUUUUCUCUUUUUAGGCUCGACUGGUGUUGGAAAGACGGAGCUUGCAAAAGCUCUUGCCGAGCAGCUAUUUGAUAGCGAGAAGAUGUUGGUUCGCAUUGACAUGUCCGAAUAUGUUGGGGCUGGGUCUGUGUGGCGUCUCAUUGGAGCGCCUCCAGGCUGCUAUGAACAUCAAGAUGGUGGACAACUGACUGAGAAGGUGCGGAGGCGCCCAUACAGUGUCAUCCUAUUCGAUGAGGUGGAGAAGGCAGAUCCCUUGGUGUUGAAUGUUUUUCUUCAGCUCCUUGAUGAUGGUAUGUUGACUGAUGGCAAAGGACGGAUUGUGGACUUCAAGAAUACAAUUAUCAUCAUGACCUCAAAUGUGGGGUCAGAGCACUUAAUGGCAGGAAUGUCUGGGGAAACUACAAUGGAAACUGCACGGAGCCUUCUCAUGAAACAGGUUCAGAAACACUACAGGCCCGAGCUUCUCAACAGACUCAGUGCCAUUGUUGUCUUUGAGCCACUUUCACGAGACAAACUGAAGGAGGUUGUGACAAUCCAAAUGAAGAGCGUCAUCGCCAGAGUAGCUGACAAGGGCAUAUGUCUAUGUGCAAGCGAUGACGCAUUGGACGUCAUUUUGUCGGAAUCAUACGACCCAAUGUACGGUGCAAGACCUAUAAGGAGGUGGGUGCAGGAGAACGUGACGACAAUGAUCUCGGAGAUGCUGGUCAAAGGAGAGGCUGGUUCAGGCUCGACAAUAUUUGUUGAUGCUACGGUCGACAAGAAGGGGCUGAAGUAUGAAGUGGUGGAUCCAGUGGUGGGACUUCCCAGUGACUAG
rnacentral:rRNA from 1 species